GUGCUCACUUUGGCAGGAUAUAUACUAAAAUUGGAAUGAUACAGAGAAUUGCAUGGCCCCUGCGCAAGGAUGACAUUCAAAUGCAUGAAGUAUUCCAUAUUUUA
ensembl:snRNA U6 U6 spliceosomal RNA